GACAGAGGUGCCAAGCGUUAGGCGGAAUCACUGGGCUUAAAGCGUGUGUAGGCGGACUGGUAAGUACCUUGUGAAAUCCCACGGCUCAACCGUGGAACUGCUCGGUAUACUGCUUGUCUUGAGCCACUUAGGGGCUGUCGGAACAAACGGUGGAGCGGUGAAAUGCGUAGAUAUCGAGAGGAACACCUGCGGCGAAGGCGGGUUGCUGGGCUGACACUGACGCUGAACUGCGAAAGCUAGGGGAGCGAACGGG
rnacentral:rRNA from 1 species